CCAUGAAGCUCCUUAAGCUGCACCACGAAAAAAUGCUUCUGCAUCGGCGGAUCCAGUCGGGUUUAAGAGUCGCAAACCUCACUCAUUCGAUGUUCCCAAAUCGGAGUUUGGUUCAGACUGCGAAUCUAAUCGGAAUCAAGAAUGUGAUUGCUUCUGAUCGAACUUCUCUAUGUAAUCCAUCACUAUUGUCGCGGCGUGUAUGUGGUCAGAUUUCCCCAUGUCUUUACGUGCAUUUUCUUCUUCAAUUCGUGCGAAAUGUAUGAGCAGGGCCAUGAACCGGGUUCACAAUGUGGUUUCCUCUCCAGGUCGGAUUCGUUGUCGUCUUUGUUAACUUCAGAUUGCAAGAUUCAAAGCCAGAACUAGAAAUCUAUGCAACUUAGCAUCCUGUGCGUGGAAUGGUGAAGUAUUACAUAUGAACCGAGAGUAGAAUCAAGAAAACGAAUCUGUCUCGGACUUAUCGCGGUAGGUUGCGAAAUCAGAGCUCCGACGCUAUGCCCCUUGGCGCUCAACAGGUAUCCAAAUCAUUCCCUUCUCCCCUCUACCACCGAUGCUGUUGCGAUUCUGAUGUUUUCAGAGUGAAGAUUGCCAUUUAUGGGGAUUGAAGUGUGAUAGGGUUGAAGGUUGAAAAAUGAAUGAAGAAGCCUCCAGUGACGAAAGAAGUUUACAGGAAAAAUGAACAUCAUCCAAAACAACAGGAAUUUAGAAAAUACGAACGGCCCUCGGGAGCUUCACCAAUGCAAACCACUUUGCCAACCAUUAUGACAUAAAGAGUCUCGAUCAAUCACGGAAAAGCACAACGACACAGGGAGCUCCUAAUCAUGAGCAGUAUUGACCAGUACUGUCAGACUCUCCAUGAAUGUGAUCAUUGAAAAUAUAUAUUUAAAAGUGCUGCCUUGGCAUAACUUUGCAAAUUAAGGUCACUGCAACCCGGUAUCUUUCCAUUAGCACAAUCAUCAAGCUAACUGCACCAUGUUUUAUCAGCUAUGAUGACCUUCUUGACUCUUGGAAGCAGUGAGAGGAUGGUCGAUAGCCGAGCUGCAUGCCUGCGGAUUCUCCAUUACCUUUGGCUGAUCGUGAACGUUUUACGUAAGUAAUAAACAUCUUCCUCAUCGCCUUGCUUGCAAUAGACAGAGUAGUUUCCUUGAUUUCUGCAUGAGCUGCCUCAACCGUCUGUUGAAGUACACAGAGCAUUACACGCAGCUUCAAGAAAGCAACAUCUCAUCAUUCAGCUCCCCAUCAGCAACACAUUGCUGAAGCUUUUGGCGAUAAAUUUCUUCAUGAAGUUCAUUGCCCAUUUAUGGAUCUAAAUGCAGCUCGUCACAAUUUUUUUGCAGGGAUGUUGUAUCCCACUGCGCCGAAAUGGCACUGCUACUGACUUCAGCUAUUUGCACCAACACACAUUUUUUUCAUUUCUUCCAUGUAAUGAAUAUUGAUGACUAUGUAUGCAUGUAAUUUCCUUGCGUAUUCGAAAUGAUAUGGACAGAUUUGAAUCA